AUCACUUCUCGGCCUUUUGGCUAAGAUCAAGUGAAGAAUUCUCUUGGUAUUUUGAUUGAAAUUGCAUGACAUGUGCAUAUCAGUUUUGGAAGUAUUUUGACACUAUUUGUUCUGCCUAGGAACAGGGG
rnacentral:snRNA from 1 species